rnacentral:sRNA from 1 species
UCGUCGGCGAUCUGCGGACAGAUGAAGUGGACGUGCGCGUCGACCGCGCCGGCCGUGAGGAUGCGUCCGUUGCCCGCGAUGACCUCGGUCUCCGGGCCGAGCACCAGGUCGGGGUGGACGCCGUCCAUCGUGUCGGGGUUGCCCGCCUUGCCGAGGGCGGUGAUCCGUCCGUCGCGGAUGCCGACGUCGGCCUUGACGAUCCCCCAGUGGUCGACGACGACGGCGCCGGUGAUGACGGUGUCGGGGGUGCCGUCUGCGCGCGUAGCACGCGACUGGCCCAUGGACUCCCGGAUGA